UAGCGUAGGGUGCAGGCGUUAAUCGGAAUUACUGGGCGUAAAGCGUGCGCAGGCGGUCUGCUAAGAGAGAAUGGUGAAAUCCCCGGGCUUAACCUGGGAACUGCGUUUCUAACUGGCAGGCUUGGAGUGUGGCAGAGGGGGGUGGAAUUCCACGUGUAGCAGUGAAAUGCGUAGAGAUGUGGAGGAACACCGAUGGCGAAGGCAGCCCCCUGGGCUAACACUGACGCUCGAUGCACGAAAGCGGUGGGGAGCAAACAGG
rnacentral:rRNA from 1 species